AGGAUGCUCACAGACAUCCAUGGGACUG
rnacentral:misc_RNA from 1 species